GCUGGCGGCGUGCUUACACAUGCAAGUCGAACGGAAAGGCCCUGCUUUUGUGGGGNGCUCUAGUGGCGAACGGGUGAGUAACACGUGAGUAACCUGCCCUUGACUUUGGGAUAACUUCAGGAAACUGGGGCUAAUACCGGAUAGGAGCUCCUGCUGCAUGGUGGGGGUUGGAAAGUUUCGGCGGUUGGGGAUGGACUCGCGGCUUAUCAGCUUGUUGGUGGGGUAGUGGCUUACCAAGGCUUUGACGGGUAGCCGGCCUGAGAGGGUGACCGGCCACAUUGGGACUGAGAUACGGCCCAGACUCCUACGGGAGGCAGCAGUGGGGAAUAUUGCACAAUGGGCGGGAGCCUGAUGCAGCAACGCCGCGUGCGGGAUGACGGCCUUCGGGUUGUAAACCGCUUUCGCCUGUGACGAAGCGUGAGUGACGGUAAUGGGUAAAGAAGCACCGGCUAACUACGUGCCAGCAGCCGCGGUGAUACGUAGGGUGCGAGCGUUGUCCGGAUUUAUUGGGCGUAAAGGGCUCGUAUGGUGGUUGAUCGCGUCGGAAGUGUAAUCUUGGGGGCUUAACCCUGAGCGUGCUUUCAUACGGGGUGGACUUGAGGGAGG
rnacentral:rRNA from 1 species